CUGGCUCAGGACGAACGCUGGCGGCGUGCUUAACACAUGCAAGUCGAACGGAGAUAUUAAUGAAGCUUGCGAUUUAAUAAUCUUAGUGGCGGACGGGUGAGUAACGCGUGGGCAACCUACCCAUAAGAGGGGGAUAACAGUUGGAAACGACUGCUAAUACCGCAUAAGCUAUUAAGGUCGCAUGACCUUAAUAGUAAAGGUGGCGAAAGCUAUCACUUAUGGAUGGGCCCGCGUCUGAUUAGCUAGUUGGUGGGGUAGUGGCCUACCAAGGCAACGAUCAGUAGCCGGCCUGAGAGGGUGGACGGCCACACUGGGACUGAGACACGGCCCAGACUCCUACGGGAGGCAGCAGUGGGGAAUAUUGCGCAAUGGGGGAAACCCUGACGCAGCGACGCCGCGUGAGCCGAAGAAGGCCUUAGGGUCGUAAAGCUCUGUUGUAAGGGACGAAUGUUUAUCUGGCGAACAGUCAGAUAAAGUGACGGUACCUUACCAGCAAGCCCCGGCUAACUACGUGCCAGCAGCAGC
rnacentral:rRNA from 1 species